AUUGAACGCUGGCGGAAUGCUUUACACAUGCAAGUCGAACGGCAGCACGGGAGCUUGCUCCUGGUGGCGAGUGGCGAACGGGUGAGUAACAUAUCGGAACGUACCCAGUCGUGGGGGAUAACUCUCCGAAAGGAGAGCUAAUACCGCAUACGUCCUGAGGGAGAAAGCGGGGGACCUGCAAGGGCCUCGCGCGAUUGGAGCGGCCGAUAUCGGAUUAGCUAGUUGGUGAGGUAAAGGCUCACCAAGGCGACGAUCCGUAGCGGGUCUGAGAGGACGACCCGCCACACUGGAACUGAGACACGGUCCAGACUCCUACGGGAGGCAGCAGUGGGGAAUUUUGGACAAUGGGGGCGAACCCUGAUCCAGCCAUUCCGCGUGAGUGAAGAAGG
rnacentral:rRNA from 1 species